rnacentral:misc_RNA from 1 species
GAUGAAGAACGUAGCGAAAUGCGAUAAGUAAUGUGAAUUGCAGAAUUCAGUGAAUCAUCGAAUCUUUGAACGCACAUUGCGCCCCUUGGUAUUCCGAGGGGCAUGCCUGUUCGAGCGUCAUUUCAACCCUCAAGCACAGCUUGGUCUUGGGCUUCGCCGCUAACCCGGCGGGUCUUAAAAUCAGUGGCGGUGCCGUCGGGCCCUGAGCGCAGUAAUCUCUCUCGCUAUAGGGUCCCGGCGGAUGCUGGCCAGUAACCCCCAAUUUUCUAUGGUUGACCUCGGAUCAGGUAGGGAUACCCGCUGAACUUAAGCAUAUCAAAAGCGGAGGA